UUCAGGGGCGACAGCAUGUUGAAUGUAGGUACUUGUUCCCAAUAGAUCACUGAAGUUAAGCAACGUUUCGCGUGGUUGGUAUCCGGAUGGGUGACCAUGUGGGCAAUCGAGUAUUGCUGGCU
rnacentral:rRNA from 1 species